CGCCCGCCACGCGCCGCUCCCGCUGACUCACCGGGCCGCAGUCUGCCGCCGGCCGCCGCGCGGAGCGCACGCGCCGUCCCAGCACCCGCCCGCCCGCCCGCCCGGCCUCAUAAGCUGAGGAUGUAGCCCACCCACUCUCAACGAUGCCACGGAACAACCAACCAGGGACCUCUACAGACAUCAGAGAUGAAACCUCAAGCAAGUGAAGAUGAUGCUGCAAUCAGCUGCUAGUAACAAGAAGACUUAUCAGCAAUCACCACCUCCAUAUCUGCUUGCAAAGAAAGUGAAGACAGGACAGCACAGACAAAUGAAAAUGCCACAUCAUAAAGACAACAGCAGCGCAGACCAUUCACCAUCUAGUCAGGACCAUAGCUUUACCUUAAAAGUGAAGCUUUAUUGUAAGAGUGUAACACAGUGUAAACCUGACCAUAUUAGUUGCACAGAACUGGUAUGAGUCACAGUACUUUUAUGAAACGAGGUGAAACUCAUUAUUCAAACAAUUACGUAGGGAAAAAAAAAUUGCAUUCAACAGAUUUAUUGUUCUUUGAAUUAUUUCCCCUCCGAUCAUUCCCAACUUCCUCUCCACAGUUUCAACCAACAUUUCUUGCUGAGUUUCAUAACAAAGGUAAGUCUUAAAAGUAUACCAGUUGGUUUGUGUUCAAAUGAAUAAUUCUUAAGAACUACUGUAAGCCCUUGCAUAUACCACUGGCAUGGACCCCGAUACUAUGUAACUUGUAUUCACACGUCGAUCACAAGGCACUUGAAAAUUGCUGGCUAAUCAUAAAUAUUUAUCAUGGCAAUUUUUAUUCUGAUUUACAUUUAAAAAAAAAUAGUUUCAGUGCAGGCAAAGAUCCGAGGGGUGGACGACAGGACCUACCAGACGAAUAUGAAGAGAGAGUGAUUUACAGGUGGUGUUGGUAUUUUAAACAUAAUUUUUCGCACCAAAAUAGGUUUCUUAUAAGUAGAAAAAAAACUUCAACUAGUCAAUAUUUUCUCAUUUCCCUUGGAACAACUGUAUCACAAAAGUUCAAUGAACAUAAUUCAUCUCUGAUCCAGCCAUGCCUUAAAAUGGCUUCUAGAGCCAUAAUUGCAUGGUGCAUUUCUGCACCUAUGGUAAUUGUCAUUUCUGACUCCUCUAUGAGUCCUGCAUAAGUACCAUAGUUUAAAAAUGUAUUUUAGAAACACCCUGUGUCUUCGUACAGAAACACAAAAUAUUUUUUUUUCUUAAGGUUGAUUUCUAAAUUUAUUUUGUGAAAAGAAUUAAGAUAGUAAAAUUUUGUUACUUUUUAUUGGUGUCAUGUAAAAUAAUUGACAUCACAUUACCACUGUUUUAUUUAGUUACUUAUUGUCAUAAAAGCCAGAAAAUGAUGGUAAGGUAGACCAAAUACUAAGUAAUCCCUAUAUUUUUCUUUGGGGGGCAACGAAGGUCUGAAAACUGCCCAGUUUUCAUUUAAUGCACAAAUAAACGUAAAUUAU